CAGUUUCUCAUUUCCUCUCUCGAACUCUCCUCUUCAGCGACUGACUUCAUCUCUUGCUAGCCGCCUCGCGAUGGGUCCUGGACUUGAUGGCGGUGUCGAUCGACUAGGUAGUCGGUGCUUGUUUCAGUAAUCCGGCGGCCAAGGUGGUGGUCUGAUUCAUCGAUCGCCAUCUAGGGCUCUCAAAGAUGGAGGAGGUGAAAAUUUCUUUUCAACUAUCUUUACUUCUCACUUCUCUAUUCACCUAAUUCAUGUUGUUAAUCUAAUCGUUUCAAGGUCCAAAGAAAGGUGGAAAGCUUCCAGUUGCAGCUUCUAAGAAGAAGCUGGAGAAGGUGGUGAACCCACUGUUCGAGAAGCGUUUGAAGCAGCUCAAGAUUGGCCUCCGAAGAAAGAUCUGACCAGAUUCAUCAAAUGGCCCGAGGCUGUUCAGAUCUGACUCGCUUGCACAUAUCAUGAGACAUUUGUUUGAGCGUCAAGGGAAAGGGCCUUGUGCUUACCAUGCUGUCUUGGUAUGGAGAACAUAAUGCUGCCGCUUUGGCAUAUGUAAUAUUGCUCAGUAUCGCUACACAUAAGUAUCGCUACACAUAAGGAUCAAGUGAAGUCGCCCUGUGAAAGAUCCACGAGCUUAAGUAGUGCAAUUUGUGGUUACAUGGUAGAAGAGUGAUUUGCUCCUUCCCUUUUUGGUAGCUAUUUCAGUUCUGUAUAUGGUUAAUCAGUUGGUCUUCUAUUUUUUAUUUUAUAUUAAAUAAGGCUCCAAUGGCCUUUUUUGUGAGAGGAUGGCUCCAAUGCCAUUGGUAAACAUGUAAAUUCAUUGUUAUGGAUUAUUAUUAUAGAUUUGAAGAAACAAAAAACUACUCGAGUUGCAAUA